rnacentral:rRNA from 1 species
UACCACAUCUAAGGAAGGCAGCAGGCGCGCAAAUUACCCAAUUCUAACAGCAUAAGAGAGGUAGUGACAAGAAAUAACAGUACAAGGCAGUUAAAAUGCUUUGUAAUUGSAAUGAUAGAAAUUUAAAUACUUUUUAAAGUAUCAAUUGGAGGGCAAGUCUGGUGCCAGCAGCCGCGGUAAUUCCAGCUCCAAUAGCGUAUAUUAAAAUUGUUGCAGUUAAAAAGCUCGUAGUUGAAUUUUUGCUAAAAAUAACCGAUCUGCUUUUAUUAAUAAAAGUGGUAUCUUGGUGUGUUUUUAGCAAUAAUGUCCUUUGAAAUGUUUUUUACUUUAUUGUAAAAAGCAAUUUUCAGGAUUUUUACUUUGAGAAAAUUAGAGUGUUUCAAGCAGGCUAACGUUUUGAAUACUGCAGCAUGGAAUAAUAAAAUAGGAUUUUAGUUCUACGUUAUUGGUUUUAAGAACUAAAUUAAUGAU